rnacentral:rRNA from 1 species
UACGAAGGGGGCUAGCGUUGUUCGGAAUUACUGGGCGUAAAGCGCGCGCAGGCGGUUUUUCAAGUCAGUGGUGAAAGCCCGGAGCUCAACUCCGGAACUGCCAUUGAAACUGUGAAACUUGAGGACGAGAGAGGUGAGUGGAAUUCCCAGUGUAGUGGUGAAAUACGUAGAGAUUGGGAAGAACACCAGUGGCGAAGGCGGCUAUCUGGACGGUUUCUGACGCUAAGACGCGAAAGCGUGGGGAGCAAACAGG